UGUGAGUGAAGAACCGCUGCGGGUAGUAAAGCUCUUUCGCAAGGGAAGAAACGAUACAGUCUAAUAAACUGUGUUAAUGACGGUACCUUGAUAAGAAGCACCGGCUAACUACGUGCCAGCAGCCGCGGUAAUACGUAGGGUGCGAGCGUUAAUCGGAAUUACUGGGCGUAAAGCGUGCGCAGGCGGUUCUGAAAGUCAGAUGUGAAAUCCCCGGGCUCAACCUGGGAACUGCGUUUGAAACUCCAAAGCUAGAGUAUGGGAGAGGGGGGUAGAAUUCCACGUGUAGCAGUGAAAUGCGUAGAGAUGUGGAGGAAUACCAAUGGCGACGGCAGCCCCCUGAGCCCAAUACUUGACGCUCAUGCACGGAAAGCGUCGGGGAGCAAACAGGAU
rnacentral:rRNA from 1 species